AUUGAACGCUGGCGGCAUGCCUUACACAUGCAAGUCGAACGGUAACAGGUCUUCGGAUGCUGACGAGUGGCGAACGGGUGAGUAAUACAUCGGAACGUGCCUAGUAGUGGGGGAUAACUACUCGAAAGAGUGGCUAAUACCGCAUGAGAUCUACGGAUGAAAGCAGGGGAUCGCAAGACCUUGUGCUACUAGAGCGGCCGAUGGCAGAUUAGGUAGUUGGUGGGAUAAAAGCUUACCAAGCCGACGAUCUGUAGCUGGUCUGCGAGGACGAUCAGCCACACUGGGACUGAGACACGGCCCAGACUCCUACGGGAGGCAGCAGUGGGGAAUUUUGGACAAGGGGCGCAAGCCUGAUCCAGCAAUGCCGCGUGAAGGAUGAAGGCCUUCGGGUUGUAAACUGCUUUUGUACGGAACGAAAAGCCCUGGGUUAAUACCCUGGGGUCAUGACGGUACCGUAAGAAUAAGCACCGGCUAACUACGUGCCAGCAGCCGCCGUAAUAC
rnacentral:rRNA from 1 species